rnacentral:rRNA from 1 species
UACGGAGGUGGCAGGCGUUACUCGGAUUGAUUGGGUGUAAAGGGUGUGUAGGCGGCGAGUUAAGUUGAAUGUGAAAGCCCUUGGCUUAACCAAGGAAUUGCAUUCAAAACUGACUUGCUUGAGUGACUGAGAGGAAAACGGAAUUCCCGGUGUAACAGUGAAAUGUGUAGAUAUCGGGAGGAACACCAGUGGCGAAGGCGGUUUUCUGGCAGUCUACUGACGCUGAAACACGAGAGCUAGGGGAGCAAACAGG